UACGUAGGGUGCAAGCGUUGUUCGGAAUUACUGGGCGUAAAGGGCUCGUAGGCGGCCGCCUAAGUCAGACGUGAAAUCCCUCGGCUCAACCGGGGAACUGCGUCUGAUACUGGGUGGCUUGAAUCCGGGAGAGGGAUGCGGAAUUCCAGGUGUAGCGGUGAAAUGCGUAGAUAUCUGGAGGAACACCGGUGGCGAAGGCGGCAUCCUGGACCGGCAUUGACGCUGAGGCGCGAAAGCCAGGGGAGCAAACGGG
rnacentral:rRNA from 1 species